rnacentral:rRNA from 1 species
GACGUAGGGCGCGAGCGUUGUCCGGAUUUAUUGGGCGUAAAGAGCUCGUAGGCGGCUUGUCGCGUCGUCCGUGAAAACUUGGGGCUCAACCCCAAGCUUGCGGUCGAUACGGGCAGGCUAGAGUUCGGUAGGGGAGACUGGAAUUCCUGGUGUAGCGGUGAAAUGCGCAGAUAUCAGGAGGAACACCGGUGGCGAAGGCGGGUCUCUGGGCAGUAACUGACGCUGAGGAGCGAAAGCGUGGGGAGCAAACAGG